GGCUGGUCCGAGUGCAGUGGUGUUUACAACUAAUUGAUCACAACCAGUUACAGAUUUCUUUGUUCCUUCUCCACUCCCACUGCUUCACUUGACUAGCUUUAA
rnacentral:Y_RNA from 1 species